UUUUACCAGAACCUGUUUUAGCACCUCCAAUACAAUUACGUCCUAUAAAUUUUUAUUUGUUAGGCACAUUUUACACUUAAUUUUACUUUAUUAAUUUUUGUAAGCAUACCUUCUAAAAUCUGAGCAAUUACUCCUUCCUGAAUAUCUGUAGGUUCAUAUAUUGCAAGUGCUUUUAGCGUAUCGAUAAGCCAUGGCGAUAUUCCUAAAUCAGAGAAUGAUUUUCUUGUAUGUUCUGACAUGUUUUCUCCCCGAUGUAAGGGUUUUAUUUAAAUUAAAUAUAAUGGUUACUGUACUGUCAAACCAAACUAUUGGGAUUCAACUUGUUGCCCUUACU